UACGGAGGGUGCGAGCGUUGUCCGGAAUCACUGGGCGUAAAGGGCGCGUAGGUGGCGCGGGCAGUCAACGGUGAAAGUUCGGGGCUCAACCCUGAAUCGGCCGUCGAUACUCCCGGGCUGGAGCACUGUAGAGGCUAAUGGAAUUCCGGGAUGUAGCGGUGGAAUGCGUAGAGAUCCGGAAGAACACCGGUGGCGAAGGCGGUUAGCUGGGGCAGUUGCUGACACUGAGGCGCGGACAGCGUGGGGAGCAAACAGG
rnacentral:rRNA from 1 species